UGGGGAAUUUUGGACAAUGGGCGAAAGCCUGAUCCAGCAAUGCCGCGUGUGUGAAGAAGGCCUUCGGGUUGUAAAGCACUUUUGUCCGGAAAGAAAUCCUUGGCUCUAAUACAGUCGGGGGAUGACGGUACCGGAAGAAUAAGCACCGGCUAACUACGUGCCAGCAGCCGCGGUAAUACGUAGGGUGCAAGCGUUAAUCGGAAUUACUGGGCGUAAAGCGUGCGCAGGCGGUUUGCUAAGACCGAUGUGAAAUCCCCGGGCUCAACCUGGGAACUGCAUUGGUGACUGGCAGGCUAGAGUAUGGCAGAGGGGGGUAGAAUUCCACGUGUAGCAGUGAAAUGCGUAGAGAUGUGGAGGAAUACCGAUGGCGAAGGCAGCCCCCUGGGCAAGUACUGACGCUCAUGCACGAAAAGCGUGGGGGAGCAAAACAGGAUUAGAUACCCUGGUAGUCCACGCCCUAAAACGAUGUCAACUAGUUGUUGGGGAUUCAUUUCCUUAGUAACGUAGCUAACGCGUGAAGUUGACCGCCUGGGGAGUACGGUCGCAAGAUUAAAACUUAAAUGAAUUGAC
rnacentral:rRNA from 1 species